rnacentral:lncRNA from 1 species
UGCUGGUGGUGUUGAUAUAUGCACGGGUGAGGAUUCUACACCUAACCCGAGUCAAGCUGUUGCUGGUGGUGUUGAUGCCUCUCAGUGCAUUGCAGAAUC